AUUGAACGCUGGCGGCAGGCCUAACACAUGCAAGUCGAGCGGAUGAAGGGAGCUUGCUCCUGGAUUCAGCGGCGGACGGGUGAGUAAUGCCUAGGAAUCUGCCUGGUAGUGGGGGAUAACGUCCGGAAACGGGCGCUAAUACCGCAUACGUCCUGAGGGAGAAAGUGGGGGAUCUUCGGACCUCACGCUAUCAGAUGAGCCUAGGUCGGAUUAGCUAGUUGGUGGGGUAAAGGCCUACCAAGGCGACGAUCCGUAACUGGUCUGAGGGGAUGAUCAGUCACACUGGAACUGAGACACGGUCCAGACUCCUACGGGAGGCAGCAGUGGGGAAUAUUGGACAAUGGGCGAAAGCCUGAUCCAGCCAUGCCGCGUGUGUGAAGAAGGUCCUCGGAUUGUAAAGCACUUUAAGUUGGGAGGAAGGGCAGUAAGUUAAUACCUUGCUGUUUUGACGUUACCAACAGAAUAAGCACCGGCUAACUUCGUG
rnacentral:rRNA from 1 species